GACGAACGCUGGCGGCGCGCUUAACACAUGCAAGUCGAGCGAAGCGGCGGACGGGUGAGUAACACGUGAGUAACCUGCCUUAGCCAUUGGGAUAGCCUCGGGCAACCGGGAUUAAUACCAAAUGGUCUAAGAUGGACUCGCGUCCCAUUGGGGCGUUGGUGAGGUAACGGCCCACCAAGGCGACGAUGGGUAGCCGGCCUGAGAGGGUGAACGGCCACAGUGGAACUGAGAAACGGUCAAAACUCUACGGGAGGCAGCAGGGGGGAAUAGUGCACAAUGGAGGGAACUCGGAUGCAGCGACGCCGAGUGAACGAAGAAGGCUUUCGAGUCGUAAAGUUCUUUGAUAUGGGAAGCGGUACCAUAAGAAAAAGCCCCGGCUAACUACGUGCCAGCAGCCGCGGUAAUU
rnacentral:rRNA from 1 species